UACGAAGGGGGCUAGCGUUGUUCGGAAUUACUGGGCGUAAAGGGCGCGCAGGCGGCCCUCCAAGUCAGGCGUGAAAGCCCCGGGCUCAACCCGGGAAUAGCGCUUGAGACUGGGGGGCUUGAGUUCGGGAGAGGAGAGUGGAAUUCCACGUGUAGCGGUGAAAUGCGUAGAGAUGUGGAGGAACACCAGUGGCGAAGGCGACUCUUUGGUCUGUAACUGACGCUGAGGCGCGAAAGCGUGGGGAGCAAACAGG
rnacentral:rRNA from 1 species